CACGAGUUCCUUCCACAUGAAGGACGUUUCAGUCAUGAUAAUAUUAUGAAUAAAAGCCCAUAGUUUCACAUGUUUUGGGGGUUAGAUUAAAUAAUAUUUAUAAUAUAUUAUAAAACGAGGUGAACUGGUUCAGUCUUUAGUCUUGGUGGACGGUGUUGGGAGGAGUCACGUGUUAACUGAUAAGAAGAGGACACAGCCAUCAGCUGCCCAGGUCAGGAAACAGAGAAGAGAAGAAGAUAAAGGUCAGAGCCAUGUCAGAUACUCUUCAGAAGUGUGACCAUGCAUGUAAUGAGAUGAAAUGACGGUAAUUAGUAGAAGUUAGGCUAACUGGUAUGUUUGUUAGCCUCUUGCUACACUGCUGGCUACAAUAGUAGAUGACGACAGCUGACCAGCAAACAUUCCAUCUAAUUCCUUUCACCCUAAUAAUGUAACACAACAUGACCAGCUCACAUAGUGUGUGUUAAACAUCAUGUUAGGUCCUGUGCUGCUCAGUAAAGUCACUUAUCACUUCUGGAAGCUAAUUCCUGAUGGAGCUCUCUGACUCAUUUGGAGUGUCAUGUAUAUAAUUAGCCAUUAACCAAGGAGGUUGUGUUUGGUUUUCUAUUCAUUUGGUUCUUAUUCUAAAGUUGGAUACAUGAUGCUUAAUAACAGCUUUAUUUAGUUGUGCUAUUCCUGCACUGAUCAUUUCUGUUGUAUUUUAAAAUGAAUGCAGGGGACUUUUUAAAUAUCUUGGAGCCAGCAGCCAGGAGGAGGAGACAUCUACCUCCUCAGACACACACAGUCUCCACAAACUGUCUGAUCCUGAGGAUGAAGAGCAGUUUACCUCUGCUUCUCCCCAGCAAGACUCAGAAACGCCUGGAGCAGCAUCGUCUCCUGACCAUGAGCUUCUGUCCUCUGACCUGCUGACUGGCCUUCAGUUCUGACUGUGAGAGUUCAGACACAACUGGUUUCCAGUCAGGUACCAUCUGACUUUGUGUUCUCUGGAAACAACAGUGACAGAAGAAGUUGCCACCAUCAAUACGUCAGGAAGUCAUUGGUUACAGGUUGGAUGAAGAAAACCAACAGCAGGACGGCUGAUGUGAUGCUGCCUGUGGACGCACUGUGCCAACACGUUUCCUCUGCUCUCCUUCAGUGUGUGUCAACCUCUGUCAGCUUCCUUCAGUUUGGAAAAGCUCAACAAUAAUUCCAAUUCCCCAACAAAAAAUCCUGAGCAGCUAACUGAGUUUAGGCCUGUCGCUCUCACAUCACUUAUUAUGAAAAUCUUUGAGACAGUGGUGAGAGAUGAGAUCGUGUCUUUAGUGUACGACAGAUUACAGUUUGGAUGAAGUGGUGGAAGAAGCUGAACUCCUGGACAAAAUCUACAAGCACUUGGAGAAACCAGAAUCACAUGUGAGACUUUUAUUUGCUGACUUCUCUUCAGCUUUUAACAAGAUGCAACCACAUAUUUUAAUUCAACCACUGUCCUCUUAUCUUAAUUUACCUGAUCAGUUCUUACUGUUGCUUUUAAUCUUUUUAACUGAGAGGAGGCAGCAGGUUUGAGUUAACGGAGCUUCGUCAGAUGUGGUUUCAAAUCCAGGCUCCCCACAGGGUGAGUUUGAGUUUUAUCUCCCCUUCUUUUUAUUUUGUGUAGCGACAGUUGCAGGUCUCACAAACAGGGCAGCGACCUGGUGAAACUCUCAGACGACGCAGCACCUCUGACUCUCCUCCAGGGUCCGAGUCGGACUUCAUCAGCUGCUGUUUCCUCGAUCUGGAUGUGAACAAAACCAAAGAUCUUGUCAGUGAUUUUAGAAGAAAUGGUGGAAAACAUAAGGCAAGUACAAUUCAUGGGAACGAGGUCGAAGUUGUUGAAACUUACAAGUAUUUAAGCUGUUUUUGAUUCACAGUUGAAGUUUGACAAAAUAUUGAGUCCACUGUCAAACGAGGCCAGCAGAGAAUCCACUUACUAAGAAAGCUGAACUCUUUUAACGUCUGUAACAAACUUCGUGUAAGUUUUAUCAGUCUUUUAUCGAGAGUAUUUGAACUUUUUCCUUCAUCUGCUGGUUUGGGACUUGGGUUCCUUGUGGGAGAAGCAGGUGGUUCACAAAGAUAAAGAAAUCGUUUCCUGUCCUCUGAGUUCAUGUCGAUGCCUUCAGGCUGCUGGUUUAUAGCUGCAGUCAGGAGGACGAAUAUGGUGCUAAUUCUUUCAUCCCACCUGCAGUUAAGCUCUUGAACUUGGUCAGUGGCAGCUUCUCUUUGUAAGACUGUAACUUUGUGUCCUUGUAACUUAAUGUGCCACUUAUUUAUUUAUUUAUCACUCUCUGUUCUUAUUCUUGGUCUCUGUUGUCUCCACACUGAUGUGACAGAGGCCUCAGCCUUGUUCUCCUGGGAGAUGAACUGAUCUGCAUGUUGUGCUCCUGUUUGUCGUCUGCUGCUCGUUGUUGUGUCACGGCUGUUGUUUGUGUGCUGCGAGGCAGCAGCAUUAAUCUGCUGAUCCAGCAGAUUUUACUCGUCUGGAUUCUUUUCACAAAAUACAGUUUUGCUAAAAUCUUCGACUGAAAUCUAACAGAAGAAAAGCUGCAAGCAGCAGACAUGAACCUCAACAAUGUUCUCUGGGUUUGUUACGUGCUGCAUGUUCACGUUUGCAUCAGGAUCUCAGUACACAUGCUGCAGACUGGAUUCCAGAUAAAGACACAGAGUUUGACUCAUCCACACUGAUCACAGGUCAGUUUUUACACAGUCAAAUGAAAACGCUUUGUUAACAUUCAGCACGUCGACUCGUCAUUCAGCCUUUCGUUCCGUUACACAUCUGACAGAAUGACAGAAGUCACGAUGUGCACAUGAGCUUCCUCUCUGCUGUCAGCUGCUGGACCGAGUGACUCUGGAAUGGUUCUGGUAACUCCCUCAGGUGGAUCAUAGUUCUGAAGAACGAGGCUCCAGAUGAAGACAGAGAGGAACACGUCAGUCAGCUGAUCCCUGAUCUGUGCUUCUGUGCUGCAGGCAGAACAGAGAGACUUCCUCGUUUCUCACUUUCUUUUAUUGUGACAGUCUAAAGGGAGAGUGUGAAGUUCCACAUGUUGAGAAGAAAACCCAGCGGAACACGUGAAUCAUCAGCUGAUCCAACAGAAUCCACUCGUCCACUUCAUGGAUCCAUCAAGUUUAACAGAACCACAUGUUGGCAGGUGACACUGUGCACCUUUAACUCCCUGCAGCCACAUUUGGACAUUAGAAUAAAGUGCUCAGUGCUUCAGCUGUCAGCCACACUGACUCAGAGUAUCUGAAGUACGACACCCGCCACAUUAAAGGAACAGUUCACCCAGAAGUCAGAUCCAGUCAGGUGAAGUGUCGGCAGCCCACCAAACGUUUCUGGAUCUCCUCCUGAACAUGUGACCGCAGCGGUUCUGUCCGAGGCCGUGGAAGCCCCGAUAUCCCAAACUGAUGUGACCAGUUGUUGACGUCCUGUUUAAACUGUUAACCUGCUAAAAUCACAUGUGUUCAUGUGGGAGAACGCUGCAGCGAAGCUCUGCUGUCAGCUGCUGCUCACAGCAGACCAUGUUGGUGUAGUGAAGGAAACAAACGUGUGUCUGAUGCUCAUUAAUGUCACUUUGUGACAUGAAGAGUGUUUAUCUCUCUCUCACUGGACAGGCAUCACACUCAGAGGGAGGAGAAGGUUUAAUGUUCAACCUGACGUGUUCAGCUGCAGAGAGGUCGGUUUAUUUAAGGUUUACUUGUUCAGACUCAGUCUGACAGAGUUCAGGCUGCAGUUCCUGCAAAUCUCCACCAGAUGGCAGCAAAGUCCAGAAGGUGAAAUAUGAACUGAACGGAUAGAAAAUCCUGACCAAUCACUGCAGCUCAUAGAAACACAGUCAGACUGUGAAGUAGAGAUGAGGUCAAACCAAACAUGAUGAUUUGAACACUAUGUUAAAGCCGAUCCAUGCAGGAAUAUGUAGAAGUGUCUGAUCAUAUGAUAGAGAUCAAUAAUGGACGACAGGAUUGAUGUUGAACGGACUGUCAUUGUUUUGUGUGUCGUUGUGUGACAAUGAUCCGAUAUUGAUGGUUUCAGUUUGAAGCUUUGCUCUCGUCCUCCUGUUGGCUCAGCAGGAGAAACCAGGGCUGGAAAUUUUGAGGUCGCGGGUUCGAUUCUUGUUUGAAAUUUGAGGGUCGACGUUCAAAAGAGUGAAAUGUGACAGAAACAAAGAGCAUCAGUCAGAUCCAGGAGCUCAGGCUGAUAGAGGUCUGGUCAGCAGGUCUGAGGUUGUGGGUUCAAUCCCCGGGCAGGUGUGGUGAUUUUUAAACCUGAUGUCCAGAACAAAGAGUGAAAUGGUGUCAGAAUCAGAAGUUUAUCUCCAGCUCAUUAGCUCAGGAAGAUAAAGUGAUGCAGUGAAGUCUGCAGGUUGUGGGUUCAAACCCUGCCUGAGUGUUGAAGGCUGGUCUCUGAUCAGCAGCUCAGGUGGACACUCUACAGCUCACAGUUUGAUCUCAGGACACUCACUGACUUUUGAGGUCCAGCACUGAUGAAUGAAAACUUGACAGCGCUCAGAGAAGAGAUGUGUCCAACAAAAGCUCCAGACUCUUUCUGAAGCUGCUGCUCAGAAGAAGGAGUGAAAACCUGUGAGAGACUUUUAAUUCUUUGACUAAAUGAAGAACAUCUGCCAUCAGCAGCUCCAGGCUCCUGGUGGCCCUCGGUCUUCCUCUGUGGGGCUUUAACUGAUUCAACCAAAGUGUCCUGAGGUAGAUGUCCAGGUAGCUCAGUGGGUUGGAGGGAUGUUGUGGAGUUCUGAGAUUCUGAGUUCGAUCCUUGAUUGUUGUUGAGUUUUGAAACGUUCAGAUCAAAGAGUGAAAAGCUCCUGAAUCUUUAUAAACCUGCAGUUACUGAGACUUUCCUCAGAUUAAAACGCUUUGUGUGAAAAUAACCUGCUCUGCUGCAUUUACACUCUAACAACACGCUGCUUGCGUGUCAAUGGUCGUUUUGUCAAUAAAGCUCGCUUGAAUCGAGUCGAGUCCGUUUGCCCAAUCAGAGGUAGAGACGUCACACUUCCGGUCUGUCUCGUAUGGCCCCAGUCAGCCAGCAGCUCUCUGUUUGUCCACCGACAUGCUGACGGUCGGACGCUUCGUGUGAGCAGCAGAUAAAUAAAAUUCCCUCUAUGGCUUCUGGAGCGGGUCCGAGAGCGACGGGCACAGCCGGCAGCCGCUUCCAGCACCGGGAGCGGGUCGCUUCACACGACCAGAUGAGGUCCGUUCUUUUUGCUGUUCCAGUCUCAUCCCUCAGAGGGAAGUGAGACUCUGAGAAACAUCAGAUCCACCUGCAGCCAACACUGUUAGUCACUGUCAGUUUGUCUGCAGAUGCUCAUUUUGGCGACUUUUUAGAAGUGAAGUGUUUGUGCUUAGCUUUAGCAUCCAGUGCUAGUACCUGUCUGAUAUCAUGAAAUAAAGACACCAUGUUUGAUUCAG